rnacentral:rRNA from 1 species
AGUCGAACGGAGCACCCUUGAUUGAGGUUUCGGCCAAAUGAUAGGAAUGCUUAGUGGCGGACUGGUGAGUAACGCGUGAGGAACCUGCCUUUCAGAGGGGGACAACAGUUGGAAACGACUGCUAAUACCGCAUGACGCAUUUUGAUCGCAUGGUCGAAAUGCCAAAGAUUUAUCGCUGAAAGAUGGCCUCGCGUCUGAUUAGCUAGUUGGUGAGGUAACGGCCCACCAAGGCGACGAUCAGUAGCCGGACUGAGAGGUUGACCGGCCACAUUGGGACUGAGAUACGGCCCAGACUCCUACGGGAGGCAGCAGUGGGGAAUAUUGGGCAAUGGGCGCAAGCCUGACCCAGCAACGCCGCGUGAAGGGAGAAGGCUUUCGGGUUGUAAACUUCUUUUAAGUGGGAAGAGUAGAAGACGGUACCACUUGAAUAAGCCACGGCUAACUACGUGCCAGCAGCCGCGGUAAUACGUAGGUGGCAAGCGUUGUCCGGAUUUACUGGGUGUAAAGGGCGUGCAGCCGGGCAUGCAAGUCAGAUGUGAAAUCUCAGGGCUUAACCCUGAAACUGCAUUUGAAACUGUAUGUCUUGAGUGCCGGAGAGGUAAUCGGAAUUCCUUGUGUAGCGGUGAAAUGCGUAGAUAUAAGGAAGAACACCAGUGGCGAAGGCGGAUUACUGGACGGUAACUGACGGUGAGGCGCGAAAGCGUGGGGAGCGAGCAGGAUUAGAUACCCUGGUAGUCCACGCUGUAAACGAUGGAUACUAGGUGUGCGGGG